rnacentral:tRNA from 1 species
ACCUGGCUGGCUCAGUCAGUGGAGCAUGAGACUCUUGAUCUUGGGGUUGUGGGUUUGAGCCCCACAUUGGGUA